rnacentral:snRNA from 1 species
GGAUGUGAGGGCGAUCUAGCUGCAACAUCUGUCACCCCAUUGAUCGCCAGGGUUGAUUCCGCUGAUCUGGCUGGCUAGGCGGGUGUCCCCUUCCUCCCACCGCUCCAUGUGCGUCCCUCCCAAAGCUGCACGCUCAGUUGAAGAGGACGACCUUCCCCGAGAGAAGGAAGACCGUCCUCUGGUCAAGGGUAUACGAGUAGCUGCGCUCCCCUGCUAGAACUUCCAAACAAGUCUCAGAACUUACUCUUUAUGAACUAUACUGACUUCAAAUGAACACAAUGUAUAUGUGUGUGUGUGCAUACAGAAAAUU